GAUGAACGCUGGCGGCGUGCUUAACACAUGCAAGUCGAACGAUGAAGCCCAGCUUGCUGGGUGGAUUAGUUGCGAACGGGUGAGUAACACGUGAGUAACCUGCCCUUAACUCUGGGAUAAGCCUGGGCAACUGGGUCUAAUACCGGCUAGGAGCUCCUACCGCAUGGUGGGUGUUGGAAUGAUUUAUCGGUUUUGGAUGGACUCGCGGCCUAUCAGCUUGUUGGUGAGGUAAUGGCUCACUAAGGCGACGACGGGUAGCCGGCCUGAGAGGGUGACCGGCCACACUGGGACUGAGACACGGCCCAGACUCCUACGGGAGGCAGCAGUGGGGAAUAUUGCACAAUGGGCGAAAGCCUGAUGCAGCGACGCCGCGUGAGGGAUGACGGCCUUCGGGUUGUAAACCUCUUUCAGUAGGGAAGAAGCGAAAGUGACGGUACCUGCAGAAGAAGCACCGGCUAACUACGUG
rnacentral:rRNA from 1 species